UAUGGGCUGUUUUUGAAAAAUAAUACAAAUAAGUAAAUGUUUGCUAUGUGUUUCUAUAUGAAGCUAGGCAAGCCUUAGAUCAGAAAGCGAGAAGGGAAACAUGCGUGGAACUCAGCAGAGAACAUUUACCCGUUAAACCAAAAACUAACAAGAAGUUGUUCACUCAUUUGUUAUAUUUAUGCCAAAAAAAAAAGGAGGCAAGGUUCCCCUUUUUUCAGUGCAAAAAGCACAUUAGCUCCCUUGGUACUUUCCGGGUUCUCCUUGUCUUUUCUACAAUGUGUUUAAACAUUAGAUUUUCAUCUUACCUUUCACAUUCCAUCAAACGGCCAUAGUUUUGCUUAAUUCAUGUCUAAGACAUCUAUGACAGAAAUCAGCAUUCUUUUCUUGUAUUUUUCUUUAUUAUGAGGAUACUUAGUUUCCCAGAAUGUGUUUUGGUUGGAUUUGAGUGACGACGCAAAUGAGGCAUUGUCUACUACAUUGCAGUUGAUGAUAAACAAAAACUAUGCCAUGAUGUUGGUGAGCUACAUUAGGCAUCCAUCUCUCACUUGUCAUAUUAAAGGAACGGGCCAAGGAGGGAAUGAUGACUGACUGAUGAUAGCAAGCAUCCCCACGAUGGAGAAUGACCAUAGAAAGAUCUUUCCACACUGAGGAAAGCUCUCUCGACUUGCAUUAGUGUUGAUACAUAUUCAUGCAGGAAGUUGACACUUAGAAUGCCUAAGAUGAGAAGCAACAAUAGCGGGUGAAUGCCAACACUCAAAGAAUCGAAGCAUCUAUGAACAAGCCUAUUGGAUAUCCUUGGUGACUGUCUAUCUUAUGGACAUGUCUUUGUGGAGCUUUCUCUCCUAUGUCCUUUGGGAAGUUGAGUACAUAGUCUAUGAUCCGUAGAUACUUUCAGAGAGCUAACAUAUCCAUAUCAAGUUGAAAGACAAACCAAUGCUACAAACCUUACCACAUGAGUGGCAAUAAAUGCGAGUGGUGAGCUGCUGCUAGUUCACGAGAUUCUUCCGUCGGUUAUAAAUGGAGGGUUAGAGAGCUGAUUGUUUUUCAGGCACCUGACUUGUCAAUGACGUUGAAUUUGUAAUCUUUCUUUUCCAUGGAGUUGAUGUUUACAAAUGUUAAAUUAAGCCAAAUGUGAAUGUAGACCAUGUGUAAUUUGUACAUGGAUCGGAUGAUGUUUAUCUUUCCAUAAACUUCCUUUUUUUCUUCCAAAUCUAUAGAUAUGGACAUA